UACAGGGGGAUCACACUUAGAAAUAGGUGCUAAUACCGCAUAAGCGCACGGUUCCGCAUGGAACAGUGUGAAAAACUCCGGUGGUAUACGAUGGAUCCGCGUCUGAUUAGCCAGUUGGCGGGGUAACGGCCCACCAAAGCGACGAUCAGUAGCCGGCCUGAGAGGGUGAACGGCCACAUUGGGACUGAGACACGGCUCAAACUCCUACGGGAGGCAGCAGUGGGGAAUAUUGCACAAUGGGCGAAACCCUGAUGCAGCGACGCCGCGUGAGUGAAGAAGUAUCUCGGUACGUAAAGCUCUAUCAGCAGGGAAGAAAAUGACGGUACCUGACUAAGAAGCCCCGGCUAACUACGUGCCAGCAGCCGCGGUAAUACGUAGGGGGCAAGCGUUAUCCGGAUUUACUGGGUGUAAAGGGAGCGUAGACGGCAGCGCAAGUCUGGAGUGAAAUGCCGGGGCCCAACCCCGGAACUGCUUUGGAAACUGUGCAGCUCGAGUGCAGGAGAGGUAAGCGGAAUUCCUAGUGUAGCGGUGAAAUGCGUAGAUAUUAGGAGGAACACCAGUGGCGAAGGCGGCUUACUGGACUGUAACUGACGUUGAGGCUCGAAAGCGUGGGGAGCAAACAGGAUUAGAUACCCUGGUAGCCCACGCCGUAAACGAUGAUUACUAGGUGUCGGGGGGCCAAGGCCCUCCGGUGCCGCCG
rnacentral:rRNA from 1 species